GCACUCCUGCAAACCCAGUUCUCUUGGUUUCUGUGGUGAAUUUGGGUUAAAGUAGUGCUAAAGUAAUUCAGAGUGUAUCCAGACGAGUUUCUGCCUCUGUUGGAACUUGUCCCUACAACCUUUGAAACAAUU